rnacentral:rRNA from 1 species
UGCAAGUCGAACGAUGAAGAGCAGCUUGCUGCUUGGAUUAGUGGCGCACGGGUGAGUAAUAUAUAGGUAAUGUGCCUCUUAGUCUGGGAUAGCCAUUGGAAACGAUGAUUAAUACUGGAUACUCCUUCUAACUCUAAUGUUAGUCGGGAAAGUUUUUCGCUAAGAGAUCAGCCUAUAUCCCAUCAGUUAGUUGGUAAGGUAACGGCUUACCAAGGCAAUGACGGGUAGCGGGUUUGAGAGGAUGAUCCGCCACACUGGUACUGAGACACGGACCAGACUCCUACGGGAGGCAGCAGUGAGGAAUAUUGCACAAUGGGGGAAACCCUGAUGCAGCAACGCCGCGUGGAGGAUGACGCAUUUCGGUGUGUAAACUCCUUUUAUAUGUCAAGAAAAUGACGGUAGCAUAUGAAUAAGCACCGGCUAACUCCGUGCCAGCAGCCGCGGUAAUACGGAGGGUGCAAGCGUUACUCGGAAUCACUGGGCGUAAAGGACGCGUAGGCGGAUUGGAAAGUCAGAUGUGAAAUCCUACAGCUUAACUGUAGAACUGCAUUUGAAACUUCUAAUCUAGAGUAUGGGAGGGGGAGAUGGAAUUAGUGGUGUAGGGGUAAAAUCCGUAGAUAUCACUAGGAAUACCGAAAGCGAAGGCGAUCUCCUGGAACAUUACUGACGCUAAGGCGUGAAAGCGUGGGGAGCAAACAGGAUUAGAUACCCUGGUAGUCCACGCCCUAAACGAUGAACACUAGUCGUCGGGAUGCUUGUCAUCUCGGUGAUGCACUUAACAGAUUAAGUGUUCCGCC